AAGGACAUUGCAGGCCAUCAUCUGCCAAACCUGGUUUAUUUGUCUAGAGAAAAAAGAAAGGUUUGUCAACACCAUUUCAAAGCCGGUGCCCUUAAUGCCUUGAUUCGGGUGUCGGCUGUCAUGACCAAUGCACCAAUAAUCUUGAGUUUGGACUGCGAUACAUACUCAAAUGACCCACAAACACCUGAGCGUAUAUUAUGUUAUUUCUGGGAUCCUGAAGUUAGGGCCACAUGUGGGUUCAUUCAAUUUCCUCAGCUUUUCAAAGGGUUGAACAAGACUGACAUUUAUGCUGGUCAAUUUAAACGUUUGUUCCAAAUUCACCCUUCUGGUUUUGAUGGGCUAAUGGGUGGAAACUUUUAUGGGACUGGAGGCUUCUUUUCCCGGAGAGUGUUCUUUGGAACCCCAUCAACUAUGCUCACACCAGAACUACCUCAACUUAACCCAUAUUAUGUUGUGAACAAGCCCACUCAAUCUCAAGAGAUCUUGGCUUUGGCACAUCAAGUUGCUGGUUGCCAUUUUGAGAAGGAUACGGACUGGGGCAUUAAGAAAGGGUUCAGGUAUGGAUCUCUAGUCGAAGACACCUAUACAAGCUAUAGGCUACAUUGUGAAGGGUGGAGAUCUGUAUUUUGCAAUCCUGAGAGGCCUGCAUUUUAUGGAGAAGCACCAAUUAGCUUGACGGAUGUGAUGAACCAACAAAGGAGGUGG
rnacentral:misc_RNA from 1 species